GAUGAACGCUGGCGGCGUGCCUAAUACAUGCAAGUCGAGCGAACAGACGAGGAGCUUGCUCCUCUGACGUUAGCGGCGGACGGGUGAGUAACACGUGGAUAACCUACCUAUAAGACUGGGAUAACUUCGGGAAACCGGAGCUAAUACCGGAUAAUCUAUUGAACCGCAUGGUUCAAUAGUGAAAGACGGUUUUGCUGUCACUUAUAGCUGGAUCCCCGCCGCAUUAGCUAGUUGGUAAGGUAACGGCUUACCAAGGCAACGAUGCGUAGCCGACCUGCGCGGGUGAUCGGCCAAACUGAGACUGAGACACGGUACAGACGCCUAGGGGAGGCAGCAGCAGGGAAUCUCCCGGAAAGGGCGAAAGCCUGACGGAGCAACGCCGCAUGAGUGAUGAAGGUAUUCGGAUCGUGAAACUGUGUUAUUAGGGAAGACCAACUGUGUAAGUAACUACGCACGUCUUGACGGUACCUAAUCAGAAAGCCACGGCUAACUACGUG
rnacentral:rRNA from 1 species